UCCACCAGUGUUUUUUUGAUGGACUGGACAAAUAUGUUCCAAAACUGCUGGAGAUGUACAGCAUACGAAGUCCAAGCUGUCCUAACCUGCGCCGUCUGCUUCAUUCCCUCGAUGAACAAACUUCAAACCAGAAGAGAAGAGCAGCUGUUUUGCUUGGACUUCCGCAUUACCUGAGGGAGGACUCCAGCAGUUUCAUCUCUGUCUGUGAGACUACCAGCUCAGAAGGAGAAGCAAGACAAGUGGACAUUGGCCUGCUCAUUGUUGCAGAGGAUGGUGGAAGUGGAAAACAAU